AGAGUUUGAUUAUGGCUCAGGAUGAACGCUAGCGAUAGGCCUAACACAUGCAAGUCGAGGGGCAGCGCGGUGUAGCAAUACAUUGGCGGCGACCGGCGCACUGGUGAGUAACGCGUAUGCAACCUACCUACAACAGGGGCAUAACCCGGAGAAAUUCGGACUAAUACCGCAUAAAACAGGGGCUCCGCAUGGAGAUAUUUGUUAAAGAUUUAUCGGUUGUAGAUGGGCAUGCGUUCCAUUAGUUAGUUGGCGAGGUAACGGCUCACCAAGACAUCGAUGGAUAGGGGAACUGAGAGGUUUAUCCCCCACACUGGAACUGAGACACGGACCAGACUCCUACGGGAGGCAGCAGUGAGGAAUAUUGGUCAAUGGGCGAGAGCCUGAACCAGCCAAGUCGCGUGAAGGAAGACUGCCUUAUGGGUUGUAAACUUCUUUUGCAGGAGAAUAAAAAGAGGGACGUGUCCCUUAUUGCAUGUACCCUGCGAAUAAGCAUCGGCUAACUCCGUGCCAGCAGCCGCGGUAAU
rnacentral:rRNA from 1 species